rnacentral:rRNA from 1 species
AGUGAACGCUGGCGGUAGGCCUAACACAUGCAAGUCGAACGGCAGCACAGUAAGAGCUUGCUCUUACGGGUGGCGAGUGGCGGACGGGUGAGGAAUGCAUCGGAAUCUACUUUUUCGUGGGGGAUAACGUAGGGAAACUUACGCUAAUACCGCAUACGACCUACGGGUGAAAGCAGGGGAUCUUCGGACCUUGCGCGAUUGAAUGAGCCGAUGUCGGAUUAGCUAGUUGGCGGGGUAAAGGCCCACCAAGGCGACGAUCCGUAGCUGGUCUGAGAGGAUGAUAAGCCACACUGGAACUGAGACACGGUCCAGACGCCUAAGGGAGGCAGCAGUGGGGAAUAUUGGACAAUGGGCGCAAGCCUGAUCCAGCCAGACCGAGUGGGUGAAGAAGGCCUUCGGGUUGGAAAGACCUUUUGUUGGGAAAGAAAAGCAGCAGGUUAAUACCCCGCUGUUCUGACGGUACCCAAAGAAUAAGCACCGGCUAACUUCGUG